AGCGAACGCUGGCGGCAGGCCUAACACAUGCAAGUCGAACGGAUCCUUCGGGAUUAGUGGCGGACGGGUGAGUAACACGUGGGAACGUGCCCUUUGGUUCGGAACAACUCAGGGAAACUUGAGCUAAUACCGGAUGUGCCCUUCGGGGGAAAGAUUUAUCGCCAUUGGAGCGGCCCGCGUCUGAUUAGCUAGUUGGUGAGGUAACGGCCCACCAAGGCGACGAUCAGUAGCUGGUCUGAGAGGAUGAUCAGCCACACUGGGACUGAGACACGGCCCAGACUCCUACGGGAGGCGGCAGUGGGGAAUCUUGCGCAAUGGGCGAAAGCCUGACGCAGCCAUGCCGCGUGAAUGAUGAAGGUCUUAGGAUUGUAAAAUUCUUUCAGCGGGGACGAUAAUGACGGUACCCGCAGAAGAAGCGCCGGCUAACUUCGUG
rnacentral:rRNA from 1 species